AGUGAACGCUGGCGGCGUGCUUAACACAUGCAAGUCGAACGAGAACGGAAUAUAGCUUGCUAUAUUUGUCAGCUAAGUGGCGCACGGGUGAGUAAUGUAUAGAUAACCUGCCCUUAAGAAAGGAAUAACAGUUGGAAACGACUGCUAAUGCCCUAUAUGCCUUAAAUACGUAAGUAUGCAAGGGAAACGCUUUAGUGCUUAAGGAUGGGUCUGUAUGGUAUCAGCUUGUUGGUGAGGUAAUGGCUCACCAAGGCUAUGACGCCUAACUGGUUUGAGAGGAUGAUCAGUCACACUGGAACUGAGACACGGUCCAGACUCCUACGGGAGGCAGCAGUGGGGAAUAUUGCACAAUGGACGAAAGUCUGAUGCAGCAACGCCGCGUGGAGGAUGACACAUUUCGGUGCGUAAACUCCUUUUAUAUAGGAAGAUAAUGACGGUACUAUAUGAAUAAGCACCGGCUAACUCCGUGCCAGCCGCCGCGGUAA
rnacentral:rRNA from 1 species